CUAGCCGCCCUCGCUUGGUCCCUUCCUUCUCUGUGCUCUGGCAGCUGGUGAUUUCUUCAUUCUCUCCAUCUGUCAAGAGAAUGGUUGAGGCACACAGUCCCUCAAUUAGAAUGCAAGAGCGGCCACCUCCAUUGCAGUCUGCCUGGGGUCUCAUGGAUCCCAGACUGGCCUCAAACUUUUCAAAUUUGCUGUGUAACCAAGGAUGCCUUUGAAUUUCUAAUCUUUCUACAGGUUCCAUGGGUUGAACCCAGGUCUUCACCUACUGAUCCAUCUCACCAUUCCUCUUUUUUAAAGUGGCUUUCAAGUUAGGCAUGAUGGCUCACCCCUGGAAUCCCACCAUUCAGGAUGCUGAAGCAAGAAGAUCACUGAGUUUGAGGCCAGCCUGGAAGCACAGUGAGUUCCUGGGUUACAGAGACCCUGUCUUAAAAACAAAA